rnacentral:rRNA from 1 species
GAUGAACGCUGGCGGCGUGCCUAAUACAUGCAAGUCGAGCGAACAGACGCGGAGCUUGCUCCUUUGACGUUAGCGGCGGACGGGUGAGUAACACGUGGGUAACCUACCUAUAAGACUGGGAUAACUUCGGGAAACCGGAGCUAAUACCGGAUAAUAUUUCGAACCGCAUGGUUCGAUAGUGAAAGAUGGCUUUGCUAUCCCUUAUAGAUGGACCUGCGCCGUAUUAGCUAGUUGGUAAGGUAACGGCUUACCAAGGCAACGAUACGUAGCCGACCUGAGAGGGUGAUCGGCCACACUGGAACUGAGGCACGGUCCAGACUCCUACGGGAGGCAGCAGUAGGGAAUCUUCCGCAAUGGGCGAAAGCCUGACGGAGCAACGCCGCGUGAGUGAUGAAGGUCUUCGGAUCGUAAAACUCUGUUAUUAGGGAAGAACAAACGUGUAAGUAACUGUGCACGUCUUGACGGUACCUAAUCAGAAAGCAACGGCUAACUACGUG